rnacentral:rRNA from 1 species
GACGAACGCUGGCGGCGUGCUUAACACAUGCAAGUCGAACGGAAAGGCCUGCUUUCCCUUGUGGAUUGCGGGUACUCGAGUGGCGAACGGGUGAGUAACACGUGAGUGAUCUGCCCCCAACUUGGGUAUAAGCCUGGGAAACUGGGUCUAAUUCCCGAUAGGACUGCAGGGUGGUGCCUGUGGUGGAAAACGAUUUUCUAGUGGUUGGGGAUGAGCUCGCGGCCUAUCAGCUUGUUGGUGGGGUAAUGGCCUACCAAGGCGGCGACGGGUAGCCGGCCUGAGAGGGGGGACGGCCAAAUUGGGACUGAGAUACGGCCCAGACUCCUACGGGAGGCAGCAGUGGGGAAUAUUGCACAAUGGGCGGAAGCCUGAUGCAGCGACGCCGCGUGGGGGAUGACGGCCUUCGGGUUGUAAACUCCUUUCGACCGCGAGGAAGCCACCUGGUUGGAAGGGUGGUGACGGUAGUGGUAGAAGAAGCACCGGCUAACUACGUG